rnacentral:rRNA from 1 species
AUGACAGAACAACCGAUUAACACGCUUUGCUGGAAUGUGAGGGGUUUAAAUUGCCCAGAUCGAAGGGCAACAGUUAAAGCUACAAUUGAGGGGUCCUCUUGCCAUCUCAUUUGCCUUCAGGAGACGAAGUUGAACUCAGUCAACAUGUUCACUGCCGCGUCCAUUGGUGGAUGUAGAUUUCGCGGCUUCGCGCAACGUCCGGCUAUCGGAACUAGGGGAGGCGUCCUAUUGCUUUGGGAUGAGAACCUUCUUGAUGUCAAUGACAUUGUCGCAACCAACUACUGUUUGUCAGCCUCGGUGCGAAUUCGUUCAUCCGGAAUAUGCUUCAAGGCAACAACUGUCUAUGGCCCCACGGACCAGGCUAGCAAAGAUGCUUUCUUUGCGGAGAUCAUCGCUCACAAGCCGUUGCCGGAUAUGGCAUGGCUAGUCCUAGGGGACUUCAACCAGAUCUACCGAGCUAGAGACAAAAAUAAAAGGAACGUGAAUCGUAGUAGGAUCAACCGCUUCCGGUCUGCGUUGCAAACCUGCGAGCUCAAGGAAAUCCACCUUCAGAAUCGGCGUUUUACGUGGAGCAAUGAGCGUAAUAACCCAACGCUAUGCAAGCUCGGCUCAUUCUUCUGCAAUGCCGAGUGG